UACGAAGGGUGCAAACGUUGCUCGGAAUUAUUGGGCGUAAAGAGCUCGUAGGCGGCCUGUUGCGUCCGCUGUGAAAGCCCGGGGCUUAACCCCGGGUCGGCAGUGGAUACGGGCAGGCUAGAGGUAGGUAGGGGAGAAUGGAAUUCCCGGUGUAGCGGUGAAAUGCGCAGAUAUCGGGAGGAACACCGGUGGCGAAGGCGGUUCUCUGGGCCGGAACUGACGCUGAGGAGCGAAAGCGUGGGGAGCGAACAGG
rnacentral:rRNA from 1 species